rnacentral:tRNA from 1 species
GGAGAGAUGGCUCAAUCAUUAAGAGCACUGGGCUGCUCUUCCAGAGGACUUGGGUUCAAUUCCCAGCACCC